rnacentral:rRNA from 1 species
CAAGGGGGUCAUCCCGACUUACCAACCCGAUGCAAACUGCGAAUACCGGAGAAUGUUAUCACGGGAGACACACGGCGGGUGCUAACGUCCGUCGUGAAGAGGGAAACAACCCAGACCGCCAGCUAAGGUCCCAAAGUCAUGGUUAAGUGGGAAACGAUGUGGGAAGGCCCAGACAGCCAGGAUGUUGGCUUAGAAGCAGCCAUCAUUUAAAGAAAGCGUAAUAGCUCACUGGUCGAGUCGGCCUGCGCGGAAGAUGUAACGGGGCUAAACCAUGCACCGAAGCUGCGGCAGCGACGCUUAUGCGUUGUUGGGUAGGGGAGCGUUCUGUAAGCCUGCGAAGGUGUGCUGUGAGGCAUGCUGGAGGUAUCAGAAGUGCGAAUGCUGACAUAAGUAACGAUAAAGCGGGUGAAAAGCCCGCUCGCCGGAAGACCAAGGGUUCCUGUCCAACGUUAAUCGGGGCAGGGUGAGUCGACCCCUAAGGCGAGGCCGAAAGGCGUAGUCGAUGGGAAACAGGUUAAUAUUCCUGUACUUGGUGUUACUGCGAAGGGGGGACGGAGAAGGCUAUGUUGGCCGGGCGACGGUUGUCCCGGUUUAAGCGUGUAGGCUGGUUUUCCAGGCAAAUCCGGAAAAUCAAGGCUGAGGCGUGAUGACGAGGCACUACGGUGCUGAAGCAACAAAUGCCCUGCUUCCAGGAAAAGCCUCUAAGCAUCAGGUAACAUCAAAUCGUACCCCAAACCGACACAGGUGGUCAGGUAGAGAAUACCAAGGCGCUUGAGAGAACUCGGGUGAAGGAACUAGGCAAAAUGGUGCCGUAACUUCGGGAGAAGGCACGCUGAUAUGUAGGUGAAGUCCCUUGCGGAUGGAGCUGAAAUCAGUCGAAGAUACCAGCUGGCUGCAACUGUUUAUUAAAAACACAGCACUGUGCAAACACGAAAGUGGACGUAUACGGUGUGACGCCUGCCCGGUGCCGGAAGGUUAAUUGAUGGGGUCAGCGCAAGCGAAGCUCUUGAUCGAAGCCCCGGUAAACGGCGGCCGUAACUAUAACGGUCCUAAGGUAGCGAAAUUCCUUGUCGGGUAAGUUCCGACCUGCACGAAUGGCGUAAUGAUGGCCAGGCUGUCUCCACCCGAGACUCAGUGAAAUUGAACUCGCUGUGAAGAUGCAGUGUACCCGCGGCAAGACGGAAAGACCCCGUGAACCUUUACUAUAGCUUGACACUGAACAUUGAGCCUUGAUGUGUAGGAUAGGUGGGAGGCUUUGAAGUGUGGACGCCAGUCUGCAUGGAGCCGGCCUUGAAAUACCACCCUUUAAUGUUUGAUGUUCUAACGUGGACCCGUGAUCCGGGUUGCGGACAGUGUCUGGUGGGUAGUUUGACUGGGGCGGUCUCCUCCUAAAGAGUAACGGAGGAGCACGAAGGUUGGCUAAUCCUGGUCGGACAUCAGGAGGUUAGUGCAAUGGCAUAAGCCAGCUUGACUGCGAGCGUGACGGCGCGAGCAGGUGCGAAAGCAGGUCAUAGUGAUCCGGUGGUUCUGAAUGGAAGGGCCAUCGCUCAACGGAUAAAAGGUACUCCGGGGAUAACAGGCUGAUACCGCCCAAGAGUUCAUAUCGACGGCGGUGUUUGGCACCUCGAUGUCGGCUCAUCACAUCCUGGGGCUGAAGUAGGUCCCAAGGGUAUGGCUGUUCGCCAUUUAAAGUGGUACGCGAGCUGGGUUUAGAACGUCGUGAGACAGUUCGGUCCCUAUCUGCCGUGGGCGCUGGAGAACUGAGGGGGGCUGCUCCUAGUACGA